rnacentral:rRNA from 1 species
GACGAACGCUGGCGGCGUGCUUAACACAUGCAAGUCGAGCGAUGAAGCUCCUUCGGGAGUGGAUUAGCGGCGGACGGGUGAGUAACACGUGGGCAACCUGCCUUAUAGAGAGGAAUAGCCAUCCGAAAGGAUGAUUAAUACCUCAUAAUAUUGUAGCUUCGCAUGAAGCAACAAUCAAAGGAGCAAUCCACUAUAAGAUGGGCCCGCGGCGCAUUAGCUAGUUGGUGAGGUAACGGCUCACCAAGGCGACGAUGCGUAGCCGACCUGAGAGGGUGACCGGCCACAUUGGGACUGAGACACGGCCCAGACUCCUACGGGAGGCAGCAGUGGGGAAUAUUGCACAAUGGGGGAAACCCUGAUGCAGCAACGCCGCGUGAGUGAUGACGGCCUUCGGGUUGUAAAGCUCUGUCCUCAGGGACGAUAAUGACGAUACCUGAGGAGGAAGCCACGGCUAACUACGUGCCAGCAGCCGCAGUAACAC